rnacentral:rRNA from 1 species
CUACCUACGGGACGCAGCAGGGAAUUUUCGUCAAUGGGCGCAAGCCUGAACGAGCAAUGCCGCGUGAACGAGGAAGGUCUUCGGAUCGUAAAGUUCUGUUGAAGGGGAAAAAGAGCGGAGAGAGGAAAUGAACUCCGAUUGAUAUUACCCUUCGAGGAAGUCACGGCUAACUACGUGCCAGCAGCCGCGGUAAUACGUAGGUGGCGAGCGUUAUCCGGAAUGAUUGGGCGUAAAGGGUGCGUAGGCGGCCUGCUAAGUCUGGAGUGAAAGGUACCGGCUCAACCGGUACAGGCUCUGGAAACUGG